rnacentral:rRNA from 1 species
AUUGAACGCUGGCGGCAGGCCUAACACAUGCAAGUCGAACGAGUGGCGGACGGGUGAGUAAUGUCUGGUAAACUGCCUGAUGGAGGGGGAUAACUACUGGAAACGGUAGCUAAUACCGCAUACCAUCGGAUGUGCCCAGAUGGGAUUAGAUAGUAGGUGGGGUAAAGGCUCACCUCGGCGACGAUCCCUUGCUGGUCUGAGAGGAUGACCAGCCACACGGGAACGGAGACACGGUCCAGACUCCUACGGGAGGCAGCAGUGGGGAAUAUUUCACAAUGGGCGCAAGACUGAUGAAGCCAUGCCGCGUGUAUGAAGAAGGCCUUCAGGUUGUAAAGUACUUACAGAGGGGAGGCGUUACCCGCAGAAGAAGCACCGGCUAACUCCGUGCCAGCCGCGGCGGUAAUAA